rnacentral:lncRNA from 1 species
CGCAAUCCCAUACUUGGGCCUUUCCAGCUUCCUCAGUUUCAAACUAAGCGUAAAGAUACUGAAUCCUAGUUUCAGUUUCUCCUGUAGCGAGUUAUGGCUCAUAGAAGAGAAGAAAACAUAUUUUUGCUCAGGAGUUGAAGCAGGAAGCUUGCAGUUUUCGGACCAUUGUGGAUGUACCUCGUGUUUUGGACUGAAACACUUUACUGGAUUAUAUUCGCUGGACCCUAACGGACAGAAUGACACCAAACACGAGGUGAAUGGACGAAGUAUGGGGUUCAGACAGUCGUCAAAAUGGUUUCUAUGUUUGGCUCCGUAAUUGCCCCUCGCGCCAGCGGACGCCGG